CACACCGACUUUUUGUCUCCUGAACUUCAGCUGGAGAAGCUUCUCAAGGAAGGGAAAGAACUAUAAGAAGGAAGGGCAGACACUCCAAAUCAUCCAUCCCUUUCUGUCACCCCCAACACCUGAAGAACAAAGGAAGCAGUAUUGGACUGGAGAAGGGAUCCUGACUGAAAGAAGUUCAGCAAGAGGACCGCUGAAACGCGUGAUUCAUAGAUUUCAAGGCUAGAAGGGAUCAUUGUAAUAAUCGAGACCACAGGCACACAAGCCAGACAACUUCACCAAAAUAAUUCCUGAAGUAUAUCUUUUAGAAAGACAUCCAAUCUUGAUUUUAAAAAUUGUCAGUGAUGAAGACUCCACCACGACUCUUGGGCCACUCCCAUGCUUCCUUAUGCCAGGUGGAGUUAACAAGCUACCUGCAACCAUGAAUCACCAGGACUGACUGAAUGUUUCCCAAGAUGAUCAACACCUGUUGACAGGAUAGGUUCACAGGAAAACACAGUCAUCCAUCUCAUUACAGAUCCAUCUCAGAGGUAGUUUAAUUUCAGUGGUGCCAUGUGUAAUUCCUUAACUGGAUUCUCUAUCCUCACCCCUUCCCUGUGCAUAUGGAGGGUUCUCGAAUAGUUGGUUCCACUUCACAUGAGAACAGGGGAAAGAUCUUGGGAGGCUUUGUAAGAGAUGUGCACUUCCUAGGCCAGAUCCUCAGCUGGUGUGAAUUAGGGUAGUUCCACUGAUUUCAGUAGAGCUUCACUGAACACGAGCUGAGGAUUUACCCUAUGUGUGAUACAAAGCCUAGCUCUGUUCCAUGGAGUAGGGGAGAUUGGGGCAGGUAAGCACAGGGCUGGGAAGGAGUUUGCCCAAGUUCAUACCAGAUAUCUCUGGAACAGCUUAGUGAAGAAUCUAGUUCUUUGGACUCCCAGACCUCUACUGUGGCCACAAGACUCUGAACAUGGAUUCCAUGGUACUUUGUAUUAAAGCAGUUAGUGUAGUUUUACUCUGUUUGUGCACGUACAUGAGUUUUCUUCCGAUUGGAACUGUUAUUGCUGUGAUGAUUAAAUAACCUUUAAUUUUUUUGGCAUUUCAGUCCAGCUAGUUAAGGCUUAUGAUCUAAUUAGCAUUUGGUAUUUGAUA